UAUUAUUUAGUUUCCUCCUCUUGGUUUAGUGUGCUGUUCAUUUUCAUUAUGGCAUCUGUGCGUGCGGUGUUGGAGGACAGAUGACUAGUCGCACUUUCACCUGCCACCGUCCUAUAUACAGUCUGCAGCAUGCAUUUUACUGAAGGCCGUUUCACUGAUGCAUCAGCGGAGGCAAUGGUAUCAGAAGUCUGGAGCUGAGGAGCAAUGCCAUCAGCGGUGCUGAAACACAUAUGCAUCAGCCCUCAUGGAGUCAAGUGCACCUGCCUCGCUUAGCAGAUCUGCCAAAAGAUCCUCAUGGAUGGAUGAGGCAAUCGGCCUUUGUCGGUUAAUAGUUUAACACAGGACAUAAAUGUGAAACCAGCACAGAAGUCUUGGUUCACGGUUUUCAGGUUAAGAUCUUUAUUAAUGAAGGCAAAGCUAGAUCAGUCCACAAAUUAAUAUUAUCCUCGGCCAAAGACAUACUCAGUCACAUUUGUCUAUUUGUAAGAUAUCUAUCUGUGUGUAUUUUCAUGUGGAGCCAGUAAAUGUUAUGUAAAAUAUGUUUUAUCAAUAAAAUCUUGAGAAUUUUA